GAUGAACGCUGGCGGCGUGCCUAAUACAUGCAAGUCGAGCGAACAGACGAGGAGCUUGCUCCUCUGACGUUAGCGGCGGACGGGUGAGUAACACGUGGAUAACCUACAUAUAAGACUGGGAUAACUUCGGGAAACCGGAGCUAAUACCGGAUAAUAUAUUGAACCGCAUGGUUCAAUAGUGAAAGACGGUUUUGCUGUCACUUAUAGAUGGAUCCGCGCCGCAUUAGCUAGUUGGUAAGGUAAAGGCUUACCAAGGAAACGAUGCGUAGCCGACGUGGGAGGGUGAUCGGCCACACUGGAAGUUGACGUAGGUCCAGACUCCUACGGGAGGCAGCAGUAGGGAAGAGUCCGCAAUGGGGGCAAGCCUGACGGAGCAAGGCCGCGUGGGUGAUGAAAGUCUUCGGAUCGUAAAACUCUGUUAUUAGGGAAGAACAAAUGUAUAAGUAGCUAUGCACGUCUUGACGGUACCUAAUCAGAAAGCCACGGCUAACUACGUG
rnacentral:rRNA from 1 species